AGUAGGGUAAGCUAAAUCAAGCUGUUGGGCUCAUAACCCAAAAAUAGACACCCUCUUCCUACUA
rnacentral:tRNA from 2 species